rnacentral:rRNA from 1 species
GAUCAUGGCUCAGGAUGAACGCUGGCGGCGUGCUUAACACAUGCAAGUCGAGCGAAGCGCUUUGGAAAGAUUCUUCGGAUGAUUUCCUUUGUGACUGAGCGGCGGACGGGUGAGUAACGCGUGGGUAACCUGCCUCAUACAGGGGGAUAACAGUUAGAAAUGACUGCUAAUACCGCAUAAGACCACAGCACUGCAUGGUGCAGGGGUAAAAACUCCGGUGGU